UAGGGAAUCUUCGGCAAUGGACGAAAGUCUGACCGAGCAACGCCGCGUGAGUGAAGAAGGUUUUCGCAUCGUAAAACUCUGUUGUUAGAGAAGAACAAGGACGUUAGUAACUGAACGUCCCCUGACGGUAUCUAACCAGAAAGCCACGGCUAACUACGUGCCAGCAGCCGCGGUAAUACGUAGGUGGCAAGCGUUGUGCGGAUUUAUUGGGCGUAAAGCGAGCGCAGGCGGUUUCUUAAGUCUGAUGUGAAAGCCCACGGCUCAACCGGGGAGGGUCAUUGGAAACUGGGAGACUUGAGUGCAGAAGAGGAGAGUGGAAUUCCAUGUGUAGCGGUGAAAUGCGUAGAUAUAUGGAGGAACACCAGUGGCGAAGGCGGCUCUCUGGUCUGUAACUGACGCUGAGGCUAGAAAGCGUGGGGAGCAAACAGG
rnacentral:rRNA from 1 species